UCUUGAUGGCUCUAUGUGCAAGAAGCUGGA
rnacentral:piRNA from 1 species